AACGAACGCUGGCGGCAGGCUUAACACAUGCAAGUCGAACGGGUGUAGCAAUACAUCAGUGGCAGACGGGUGAGUAACACGUGGGAACCUUCCUCGUUGUACGGGACAACUCAGGGAAACUUGAGCUAAUACCGUAUACGUCCGAGAGGAGAAAGAUUUAUCGCAAUGAGACGGGCCCGCGUCGGAUUAGCUAGUUGGUAGGGUAACGGCCUACCAAGGCGACGAUCCGUAGCUGAUCUGAGAGGAUGAUCAGCCACACUGGGACUGAGACACGGCCCAGACUCCUACGGGAGGCAGCAGUGGGGAAUCUUGGACAAUGGGCGCAAGCCUGAUCCAGCCAUGCCGCGUGAGUGAAGAAGGCCUUAGGGUUGUAAAGCUCUUUUGCCAGGGACGAUAAUGACGGUACCUGGAGAAUAAGCCCCGGCAAACUUCGUGCCAGCCGCCGCAGUAAAAC
rnacentral:rRNA from 1 species